CAGCUCUUGACAUACCAAUCGCGGGGAGUGGAGACAUUCCCCUUCAGUUCGGCUGGAUUGGAUACAGGUGCUGCAUGGCUGUCGUCAGCUCGUGUCGUGAGAUGUUGGGUUAAGUCCCGCAACGAGCGCAACCCUUAUUCCUAGUUGCCAUCAGGUCAGGCUGGGCACUCUAGGGAAACUGCCGGUGACAAGCCGGAGGAAGGUGGGGAUGACGUCAAGUCCUCAUGGCCCUUACGGGCUGGGCUACACACGUGCUACAAUGGCGAUGACAGAGGGAUGCGAUGGUGCGAGCCGGAGCUAAUCUCGAAAAGUCGUCUCAGUUCGGAUUGUUCUCUGCAACUCGAGAGCAUGAAGUUGGAAUCGCUAGUAAUCGCGUAUCAGCAUGACGCGG
rnacentral:rRNA from 1 species